UACGAAGGGGGCUAGCGUUGCUCGGAAUUACUGGGCGUAAAGGGCGCGUAGGCGGCACUGUUAGUCAGGCGUGAAAUCCCUCGGCUUAACCGGGGAACUGCGUCCGAUACUGGAUGGCUUGAGUUUGGGAGAGGGAUGCGGAAUUCCAGGUGUAGCGGUGAAAUGCGUAGAUAUCUGGAGGAACACCGGUGGCGAAGGCGGCAUCCUGGACCAACACUGACGCUGAUGAGCGAAAGCCAGGGGAGCAAACGGG
rnacentral:rRNA from 1 species